rnacentral:tRNA from 1 species
GCCUGGGUGGCUCAGUUGGUUAAGCAUCUGACUUCUGGCUCAGGUCAUGAUCUCAUGGCUUGUGGGUUCGAGCCCCGCAUCAGGCU